rnacentral:rRNA from 1 species
GACGAACGCUGGCGGCGUGCUUAACACAUGCAAGUCGAACGGAAAGGCCCUGCUUGAAGGGUACUCGAGUGGCGAACGGGUGAGUAACACGUGGGUGAUCUGACCUGCACUUCGGGAUAAGCCGGGGAAACUGGGUCUAAUAGCGGAUAGGAGCCAUUUUUAGUGUGAUGGGUGGAAAGUUUUUUCGGUGUAGGAUGAGCUCGCGGCCUAUCAGCUUGUUGGUGGGGUAAUGGCCUACCAAGGCGGCGGCGGGUAGCCGGCCUGGGAGGGUGGGCGGCCACAUUGGGACUGAGAUACGGCCCAGACUCCUACGGGAGGCAGCAGUGGGGAAUAUUGCACAAUGGGCGCAAGCCUGAUGCAGCGACGCCGCGUGGGGGAUGACAGCCUUCGGGUUGUAAACUCCUUUCGCUAGGGACGAAGCUUUUUGUGACGGUACCUAGAUAAGAAGCACCGGCUAACUACGUGCCAGCCGCCGCCGUAA